rnacentral:tRNA from 1 species
UGUAUGUAAUUUAAAAAAAANACCAAGCUGUGA